rnacentral:rRNA from 1 species
UGGGAACGUACCCUUUGGUUCGGAACAACCCAGGGAAACUUGGGCUAAUACCGGAUAAGUCCGUAAGGAGAAAGAUUUAUCGCCAAAGGAUCGGCCCGCGUCUGAUUAGCUAGUUGGUAGGGUAAUGGCCUACCAAGGCGACGAUCAGUAGCUGGUCUGAGAGGAUGAUCAGCCACAUUGGGACUGAGACACGGCCCAGACUCCUACGGGAGCAG